CUACCUUCUCUCAAGGACUUGACUAUUGAGGGUAUGACAAUGGAAACAAUUGGGCUAGAGUUCUAUGGGAUGACAGUAGAACCUUCCAUUUCCUUAUUCCGACCAUUUCAAUCUCUCGAGUCUUUACAAAUCUCCAGUAUGCCGAAUUGGAAAGAAUGGAUACACUAUGAAAAUGAUGAGUUUAAUUUUCCUCGCCUUAGAACUUUGUGCUUAAGCCAAUGUCCUAAACUAAAGGGACAUUUGCCUAGCAGUCUUCCUUCAAUAGACGAAAUCAAUAUAACUGGUUGUGACCGUCUCUUGACAACACCACCAACUACUUUGCAUUGGCUCUCCUCAUUAAACGAAAUAGGUAUACAAGGGUCUACAGGAAGUUCCCAAUGGUUGUUACUUGAGAUUGAUUCUCCUUGUGUGCUUCAAAGUGCAACAAUCAGUUAUUGUGAUACCCUGUUUUCUUUACCCAAAAUUAUUAGGAGCAGCAUUUGUCUUCGAUUCUUGGAACUUUAUGAUCUUCCAUCUCUCGCUGCUUUUCCAACAGAUGGUCUACCCACUUCAUUGCAGUACAUUAGAAUUGAUGAUUGUCCGAAUUUAGCAUUCCUGCCACUUGAAACAUGGGGCAAUUACACAUCUCUUGUGACUUUGCACUUAUGGAAUAGUUGUUAUGCACUUACCUCAUUCCCUUUGGAUGGUUUCCCAGCCCUCCAAGAUCUUUUCAUUUGUCGCUGUAAAAAUCUGGAAUCCAUUUUUAUUUCAAAAAAUUCUUCCCAUCUCCCGUCAACCCUCCAAUCAUUUGAGGUAUAUGAAUGUGAUGAACUUAGAUCAUUGACUCUACCAAUAGACACCCUGAUCUCUCUUGAACGUUUGUCCCUCGGAGAUCUUCCAGAACUAACUUUACCAUUUUGUAAAGGAGCUUGCCUACCUCCCAAAUUACGAAGCAUUUUUAUUCGAUCAGUGAGAAUAGCAACGCCUGUAGCUGAAUGGGGUCUCCAACAUCUUACUUCUCUUUCAAGUUUGUAUAUUGGAGGUGACGAUGAUAUUGUUAACACCUUGCUGAAGGAGCGGUUGCUGCCAAUUUCACUUGUGUCUUUGAGUAUUUCUAAUCUCUGUGAAAUAAAAUCCAUUGAUGGAAAUGGACUCCGACACCUAUCCUCUCUUGAAACACUUUGUUUAAAUGACUGUCCAAGACUUGAGUCUCUUUCAAAAGACACUUUUCCAUCCUCUCUUAAGAUACUGCGCAUCUGGAAAUGCCCUCUGUUAGAAGCAAACUAUAAAAGUCAGAGGUGGGAACAUUUGUCCAUCCCAGUCUUGAAAAUAAAUAACGAAGUGAUAAUAUGAGGGAAGGGACGGAAAAUUUGCAAUCCUGUUUCAGGUAUAAUUCUCUUUUAUGCAUCUAUCCAUGAAGAAUUGUUCAAUUUUUUCUGUGUAACAAUUCAUAAAACUGUGGUAACUGUAGUCAAGUUCAUUUAUAAUAACCUACAAACUGUGGUAAAACACCAUUUCUUGAGAUUUUUAAGUUAAUGGGUCUAAGGUACCGUUUGGCCCGGCUUUUUUUCAGCUUCUCUACAUUUUUAAGGAGAAGCUAGGUCAAACACAAUAUCAAUAAAGUACCUUCGAAAAAAAGUACUUUUUUUAGAAUGCAUAAAAUUAAAUGGAAUGAACUUUAACCAAAAGUUGUUAAACGCUACUUCAAAAAACUACUUCUCCAUAAUUUAUUUCAGAAACACCUCUCUUCAUGCAUGCAACCUUUUCUUUUAUUUUUUAAUAUUAUUUUUCAAUUUGUUUUUUUAUUCCUUUUUUUUUAACCGGUCCAUAUAAAUUUUUUUAAAGGAGGAUCAAUUUAAUUUUAUCAUCUAUUUUUGAAGGAAUUUUAUUAUCCUUUUAUCACUUAUAUAUUUAAUUUUAAUAUCGUUUAAUUAUCAAAACCUCACAAAUAUUUUUAUUCCCUUUCUUCAAUCUCACAAAUAUACACACACACGCAUUAGCGUUUAAAGUAAUAUUUUAUGUCUGUAUGUCUGUAUUUUUUGUUACGCUAAUGCGUAUAAUUUUUUUAGUGUUGCGUAUUGCGUACAAUUAUUAUUUUUAUAAAAUUUUGAUUUUAAUUAAAAGUACAAGUAUAGAUGCCUAAAAAAAUUAUACUUAUAUAUAUUUUACACAUUUAUAUUGUAACAAACUAUGCAUAUCUUUUUCUUAUUAAAAAAACUAAACAUAUCUUUUUCAAUGACACCAACAAUGUAACAAAUAUAAUAUCAUAUAAUAUAAAUUCUUAUGUUUUUAAAUGACACAAAAAAUAUGAUAUUCUUAUAACAAAAUUUGUUAUACAGUAUAAUUGGAAAAGAAAAAAUAAACUAUUCUCUAGCUUAGCUCAGUUGAUAUAGACAAUGUAUAAAUAUAUGCAAGGUCGCGGGUUCGAACCCCAGACACCACAAAAAAAUAAUAAAUUCAAAGUUUUGUACGAUAUUUUGCCAAACAACUUUAACUUAAAAAUAACUUUAGAACUAAAAAAAAAAUUAAGAAACCAAACAGCUUUAGCUUUUUCCUUAAAGAGCUUUAUUUUAAAGUAGCUUUCAGACCGAAAAAAAGUCUGGCCAAACGGUAGACGUUGUUACGCAAUUUUCUCAACAAGUAGAAGUAGAUUAAAAUAAGAAUCCAGAUUGAUUCUUGGUUCAAUGUAAUGCCAACUUGUUCCAGUAAAAUAUAUCUAUAUCCUAAGGUAAUAACUUCAAUGUCUGUUUUAUGCAACAUGCACCUCAAUGCGAUUUACAACUUGUUCCUUGAGACAUAUCUUUGUUGAAAUAAAAAUAAAGAACAGUUCACAGAUAUUUUAUACAUUUACAUGGAUAAAUAAAUACAAUUACAAUUGCAAUUUACAACUUUAUCUUUGUGACAAGAACAAAAUAUUCUUUCUUAAAAUCCUAUUGAAAACCAGUUUAAAUUUUUAAAAUCAUAUUCUUGAUCCUAGUUGAGAUUAAACUUAUAAUGUUUUCGAAGCCAUUGUUAAUUUUUAUUCUUUUGUUGUUAAUAGGUUUGUCAUCGGUAAGGCGUGCAAAGUCCAUACACAGAGAUCUCGUUAUAAGAACAAGAGUUGCUGGCAACAUAAAUGUAUGUCACAAAGCUUCAGUUUCAGUUUGUAGUUACUUAUCUAUUUUGAUUUCUUUUCUCCAUAUUUUGAUUAGUUUUCUUUUAAUGAAGAAGCUAAAUUAGAUUACCGAAAUUGGCAUCGGGGAGAAUCGAACCUCGGAUCUUGAGGAGGAACGCACUCUAAGGUCCUAAGUCAACAUCACCCGUCAAUCCAAGUGGGUUAUAUUUUUCUUAGUUUAUCUGUGUAUUUUUGUUCAGUACAGUUUUUAUAGAUUUAAUUCAUAAGCACUAACUGUGACAAUAUUUACCUUAUUAAUCAAUCAUAACUAUUUGAUGAUUAAACAAAUUUUACUUUCAUCUGAAGUGCAUAUGAUUAGUUGGUAUUUGGUUAGCCUUUUGUUGAAAGCAUAUAACUUAAAAGUUGUGAAGCACCGAUACAAACACGGACACGUCGACAUUGUGUCGGUGCUACAGAACUUAAAAGUCCUUAAUGUACAAAUUACAAUAAAGCAGUACGUAGAAAUUCAGUUUCACAAUCUGACAUAAGUUUUUGCUGUAAAUAAAUUUUAAUUAUGAAGUGAUGAACUUUCUUACUUCGCGCAGGUAAUUCAUGAUGCCGGUGGAUACUUUCUCGCAGAAACUGUCAAAAUACCGUUUUCAUCAAUUGAGAAACGUUCGCUGAUAGGAUGGCAACGAAGGAAAGUCUCAGGAAAGGGCUGACUAUCUCUGCUUGAAGGCCUACAAGACAACAUGAAUCAAACAAUUUUUAGGAAAUUAGAAUUUUUCUUAUCCAGAUUCUCACUUUGUUAUAGGAUUAGAUCUCACAUAAAUGUUUACUCCAAGUCCAGAAAUGACAAGCCAUCUACAAAUGUAAAUCAACAUUGUCUAAUUUUUCUCUUUGUAGAGUCAGUAUUGUAUAUAUUAAUCAUUUCUCUCUAAAAAUAAUAAAUUUAAUAACUUAUUACAAAGGAAAUGUUAUGACUUAUAAUUUAUCUAAUAUCCCUCUUUUGUAUAAACAAUAAAUAAAUUAUCCAAUCCUACAAACAUGGCCUAGUUUUAAUAUCUCAGAAAUAACAUGAAUGACACAUCGAAUUAACAUGACUAACUCAGAAAAAAAAUUAAUUAUCCAAUCCUACAAACCUGGCCUAACUUUUAAUAAGUCAGAAAUAACAUGAAUAACUCGAGAUAUAAAUAAAUUAUCCAAUUGAAUUAUUUCAACAGAUAUCCGUAAACAUGCACUCCAAGUGCAUUGCAAUUUUCCAUCAUUUUGGUCCUCACAUUUUCCAUUAGUUUCAAAGUGUUAUUUCUGCUUUCAAAGUGUUUGAUAAGUUUCAUCAUCUUGUGUUUGUACGAGGUAAACGGAAAAUUUUGAAGAAUUUAGAAUUUUAGGCAAUUUAAAUGAUUCAAUUAAAUUUUUUUUAUUUUUAAAUAUUUUUGUUUGGAUGGAGUAAUUGUCAUAAUUUUUGGGUAACUUUUAUAAAUUUUAAUUUAUUUUGGCCAAAUUUGGAAAUUUAAAUUAGCGGUCAAUUUGUAAUUUUCUAAAAUUUCGAGGGGUCAAUUUAUAAUUUUUGAACAUUUUUAGGGGAAAAUUUGUAAUUUCAAAAAAAAAAUAUAGGGGUCAGUUUGAAAAUUUUGGAAAAUGUGUGAACCAAAAUGCAAAAUUUGAACAACUAUAAUAAUGAAAAAAUUUAUCAUCCAAACAAUAGAAUCCACCUAAAAGUCUUUGAAUUCUCUCAAAACAUUACAUGGGUCAACUUAGUGGUAAAGACUUGAAUUUGUAACUUCAAGAGACAUUGUUCAAAUCUCGCAUGAAACAGUUGUAAAAUGAUCAUUAGUUCCAUAAUUAUUAAUAAUAGAUUUUAAGGAAUAAAUUCUACAAAAUUUCAAUUAUUUUAUAAUAAUGCAUUUUUGUUUAUAAACAAAACAUUUUACUUGUUGAUAUUUGUAAAUAUAUAUAAAUACAUUAAUAUCCACUAAUACUCGUGUAGCGGAUAUUCACACGAAUGUAAGAACGGUCUAAAUAUCAGUUUUAUCAACUAACUACUAUGUAUAUCAUGUGGACAUCGAUUAUCAUCCCUAUUAAUAGUAUAGUAGCAACAACAAUAAAAUUAUUAUUAUAUUAUUAUAUGAUAAUGAUAAAGUCACACUUCUAUUAAAAAGAAAUAAUCUCAAAAUAUAAAGAGAGAAAAAAUUUGAUAAAGUCCAAAUAAUAAUACAAAUCUCACGAUAAUUGAUUCAAAAUUGAUAAAUGUUUAUUAGACAUUCAAAAUAGUUGCAACAAUUUUUUGUGAAUAUAUAAAGAAAGUAACAUUUAAGAAGAACAAAUAAAAGAAACAUUGAUAAAUUUAUUCUUUUUCUGGUAUUGCUUGACAAAUGAAAAUGUUCAACAUCAUUCCUUUUUUUCUUAUACGCCACAAAACAUAGUAAAAUAAAAUUAAAACAUACUAACAAAUAAAUGAGUACUUUUCACUUUUUAUUCUGAGUAGAAAAAUGAAAUACCCAUUAAAAAAUAAACAAUAAUAAUAUGGAAGAAAAAAAACAUAAGAAAAAAUAUAUUGAGAGGAGAAUAUUCAAAGAUAAAUAAUAUAAAUUAAAAAAUAAAACCCUAAUAAAUAAAAUGGUUGAAAAGUGUGUUAGAACAACAAUGGUUCAUACAAGUCCUCUAAGGUUUUGAUGAUAACAAAGUAUUGAAGAACAAUUGGAAUACUAACAUACGUUCAAGUGUAUAAAAUCUAUCUAUCAUGAAGAAAUAACAUAUGAAGAGCAUAAGAAGGAACUGGAGAAGCCUAGAAGACUAUGAUGGAAGAUCUAAAAGAAAGUCAACCAGAAGUCAACAUCAUUAGAAGAAAGAUGUCUCAAAGAAGCUGAAGAGUGACCUCAAGAGAUUCCGUGAAGGCCAUCAGACACAUAAUAUGUCUGGCAUACUUGGAUCUGAGGGACCCGAAAUGCAGGUAAAUUUUUGUCUAAUAUUGUGAGCUGUCUAUACCGUAGUAUCUGAUAGAGGAGUUCUUUUGUCUUCUUCUGUCUACGUGUGCAACUAGACAAAGGACCUUAAGAACAAAGAGAAUACAACACGUAAUUCAUCUUUCAGCAAAGGAAAUUCAAAAGAUUUUCCAACGGAAUUAUCCAUAUCAGGCAAAGAGUCAACUUUCUUGAUCAAAGUUAUCCAACGACUCUAUUUGCAUUGGAACUUUUCCAACGUCUCUUAAAUCACUGCAUAUAAAAGGAGUUGAAGACCUGAAGCAGAAAUAACAAGACUAUGUUAUUUUUAUAUGCCAAAUCUCCGUCAAAUCAAAUAGCGCAAAACACUUAGAAUUUUAGCUUUCAAGUUUAUAUCUUAGAAAUCCUAAGGAGUCUGUUCAUUUGUUCAGUUCACUACCAUUGUUAAAUCUAGUGUAAGAAAAAAGUAACUUGUAACACCCCGUUAUCCCAACAAUUAAUAAUAAAUAAGAUAAUCAGAGUUCCUCCACAAACAGGCAUGUCACACUGCUUUUCAAAAUUUCUUAAAUAGAAAUAAAUACUAUUUAAUAAACAUCAAUAAUUUGCAGCGGAAUAUUUUUCGAAAUAUCUAACAUCAACAUCCAACAAUAAUCCUGGCACAAAGGCCUCAACAUAAAUAUUCACCAAAAUUGUUCAACAACAAUAAAAGGCUACAUCAGCAUGUUCCAAAAUUGAUACAUAAGGAAUGAAAAUAAACAACUAAUUCUCAUCCUGUUACGUAUCAGAGCCCUAGACACUUGAGCCACCACUCUACUAUUCUUCAUCACCUGCAAGUUACCCAUAGGAAGGGCAACAUUUCCAAGCAGAAGGGGUGAGAUUCACAAACAAUAAUAAUAGAUGAGUAAAUAGUCAAUUUUCCCCCUGAAAUUGUAAGUUUCAUCAAUUACCCCCCUGAAAUUAACAAAACAUCAAUUACCCCCCUAAAAUUUCACAACGUUAGUCAAUUUACCCCCUCCGUCAAAUUUUUCUGUUAGUGAACAUGACGUUUUGCAAAUACCCCCCUGAAGUUUUGCACUUAUGUGCAAAAUGCCCCCCAAACUUAAAAAUUUAUAUUAUUUUUUUCUUAAAAACAAACAAUUAAUAGUUAAAUAUUAAAGCUAACUAUUAAUUUUGGAGUUUGGAAAAACUACAUACAUAUAUACAUCAAAAUAGGGAAAAAUGUGUAUUUUUAAAGUGACAAUAAUGGUUAUUUCUAAUAGACAAAUUAUUAUUUUUAGAGGUUUAUAAACAAAUUAAUAAUCAGAUUUAAAUUUAUAUUUUCUCCUUCACCAUCUUAGUCUUUUAACUCCUCCAACUCCUUCAACAAUUUGCUCAAACCAUUUAAACUACACAACCCCCAAUAUUAAUCCACAAAUCAUCCCAUUAUUGUCACUUUAAAAAAUACAUAUUUUUUCCCAUUUUGGAGCCUAUUUUGAUGUAUAUAUGCAUGUAGUUUUCCCAAAUUCCAAAAUUAAUAGUUAGUUUUAAUAUUUAACUAUUAAUUGUUUGUUUUUAAGAAAAAAAUAAUAUAAAUUUUUAAAUUUGGGGGGCAUUUUGCACAUAAGUGCAAAACUUCAGGGGGGUAUUUGCAAAACGUCAUGUUCACUAACAGAAAAAUUUGACGGAGGGGGUAAAUUGACUAACGUUGUGAAAUUUCAGGGGGGUAAUUGAAGUUUUGUUAAUUUCAGGGGGGUAAUUGAUGAAACUUACAAUUUCAGGGGGGAAAUUGACUAUUUACUCAAUAAUAGAUAUAUAAUUCAUCAAUCGAAUCUAACACCCUAAAUAUCAUCAAUACAUCAUUAUAUAUAUAUAUAUAUAUAUAUAUAUAUAUAUAUAUAUAUAUAUAUAUAUAUUUCAUGAUCACAUCAUUAACAUCAUAUUCAUCUUCAAUCAAUAGUAAGAAUUAUUACUCAAUCACCAACGACGACUAAUGCAAUGACAUGACAACACCACUAAGACUCCUCAACAAAUGCGACUAUACACAUGCAUAUGGUACCAUUUUACAGGACAUAAGUCCUCACCGAAUUUGAAUGGUUAAAGCAUUCAGAGGGCAUAAGAGUUUGUUGGAUGCAUGUGUACAAAUUAAAUUCUUAAAGAAAUAGAAUUAAUACUACAAAAUAAAUAAAUAAUUGAAUCACAUGUUAUGCAAUUAUUUAAUCACUUUCCAACAUCAAUAAUUGAAUCACAUGUUAUCACAAUGGGGACUCACUUCACACAGGCUGUAAUAUAUAUUUCCUCUUUUGAGAGACACAACCUGCAAAACCACACAUAGACUGCAAAACCACUACUCUCUAUUGAAAACUGUUGGCUUUCUCUCUCUCAGCUGUAUUGCAUUUAUUUUUAUUAUUUACAAUUAAUUGUUUUGAAACAGUUAAGCAUUAUAAUAAUAAUCUUUUUUUGACUAAUGUACUACUUUAUAUCAUAUUUAUUUAUAUUUAUCACUAGUAUUUAUUUUCCUUUAAUUUUCAUUGAAAGCUUAGCUACCUGCAAACCUGAAUCUCUUUACUACACACAGUACCAACUAUUUGCUUUUUAUCAAUGCUUUUCUCAGUACUUCAAUUAUUCAUUCACAACAUAACCGUUUAUUUUUCUUCAGCCUUAUCUCUUUACUAUAUACACGCUACCAACUAUCCUUAUUCUAAAUCUUCAUAGUUCAGAAAUUCAUUCAAGAUUUAGACAUUUAGUUACAACAUCAUUCCUUGCUACUUUACUUUAACAAUAGAAAAUGGCUGCAACUUUGGUGGGAGGGGCUUUUCUCUCUGCUACUGUUCAGACUUUAGUUGAGAAACUUGCUUCACAAGAGUUUUGUGAUUACAUAAGAAACACCAAGCUGAAUUCCUCGCUGUUUGCAGAGUUGGAAACAACACUGCUCGCUCUUCAGGCGGUGCUGGAUGAUGCAGAACAUAAGCAAAUCACCAACACUGCUGUCAAACAAUGGUUGGAUCAGCUGAAAGAUGCAAUCUAUGAUGCUGAGGAUUUGCUUAACCAAAUCAACUACGACUCCCUGCGAUGUACGGUGGAGAAGAAACAAGCUGAAAACAUGACUAAUCAGGUUUGGAACCUCUUUUCGUCUCCGUUUAAAAAUCUCUAUGGAGAGAUCAAUUCACAAAUGAAGAUUAUGUGUCAAAGGCUGCAGAUUUUUGCACAACAGAGAGAUAUCCUUGGCUUGCAAACUGUGAGCGGGAGAGUUUCUCUAAGAACACCUUCAAGUUCAAUGGUAAAUGAAUCUGUUAUGGUUGGUAGGAAGGAUGAUAAAGAGAGACUCAUUAGUAUGUUGAUAUCUGACAGUGGCACUACCAAUAGUAGUAUUGGUGUGGUUGCAAUUUUGGGUAUGGGCGGUGUUGGCAAAACCACUCUUGCCCAACUUCUUUAUAAUGAUAAAGAAGUUCAAGACCAUUUUGAUCUGAAAGUCUGGGUUUGUGUAUCGGAGGAUUUCGAUAUUCUGAGAGUCACUAAAACCAUUCAUGAAUCUGUCACUUCAAGAGGUGGUGAAAACAAUAAUCUUGAUUUUCUUCGAGUUGAAUUGAAUCAAAACUUGAGGGAUAAAAGAUUUUUGUUAGUGCUGGACGAUCUGUGGAAUGAUAGUUAUAAUGAUUGGGAUGAGUUAGUAACUCCAUUGAUUAACGGCAAAACGGGAAGUAUGGUGAUCAUCACAACACGCCAACAAAAAGUUGCGGAGGUUGCACACACGUUUCCUAUUCACAAAGUAGAUCCUCUAUCAGAUGAUGACUGUUGGUCGUUACUUUCAAAGCAUGCAUUCGGAAGUGAAGACCGUCGAGGUAGAAAGUACCCAAAUCUAGAAGAAAUUGGUAGAAAGAUUGCCAAAAAGUGUGGUGGAUUGCCCAUAGCUGCUAAAACACUCGGAGGAAUUUUGCGUUCAAAGGUAGAUGCAAAAGAGUGGACUGCAAUUCUAAAUAGUGACAUAUGGAACUUACCAAAUGAUAAUAUUUUACCUGCUUUACGUCUAAGUUAUCAAUAUCUUCCCUCACAUUUGAAAAGAUGUUUUGCCUAUUGCUCAAUUUUUCCAAAGGAUUUUCCACUGGACAAGAAGGAAUUGAUUUUGUUAUGGAUGGCAGAAGGCUUCCUAGAGCAUUCUCAACGUAAUAAAACAGCUGAGGAAGUAGGCCAUGACUACUUUAUUGAAUUGUUAUCCAGGUCCUUAAUUCAACAAUCAAAUGAUGAUGGAAAAGAAAAAUUUGUUAUGCACGACCUUGUCAAUGAUUUAGCGUUAGUGGUGUCAGGAACAAGUUGCUUCAGGCUUGAAUGUGGUGGUAACAUGUCUAAAAAUGUUCGUCAUUUGUCAUAUAAUCAAGGAAAUUACGACUUUUUCAAGAAGUUUGAGGUUCUCUACAAUUUCAAGUGCUUGCGAAGCUUCCUACCCAUUAACCUUUUCGGAGGAAGAUACUACUUAUCUAGAAAGGUUGUUGAAGAUUUAAUACCCAAACUCAAACGGUUACGUGUGCUAUCCUUAAAAAAAUAUAAAAACAUCAACCUGCUGCCAGAAUCAGUAGGUAGUUUGGUGGAGUUGAGGUAUUUAGAUCUCUCAUUCACUGGAAUUAAAAGCUUACCUAAUGCAACUUGCAAUCUUUACAAUCUGCAAACCUUGAAUUUAACACGGUGUGAAAACCUCACUGAGUUGCCACCAAAUUUUGGAAAGUUAAUUAACUUACGGCACCUUGAUAUUAGUGAGACAAAUAUAAAGGAGAUGCCAAUGCAAAUUGUUGGACUCAAUAACCUGCAAACAUUAACUGUUUUUUCAGUUGGCAAGCAAGACACCGGGUUAAGUUUGAAAGAGGUUUGUAAGUUUCCUAACCUACGGGGAAAGCUUUGUAUCAAGAACCUGCAGAAUGUCAUCGAUGCCAUUGAGGCUUAUGAUGUCAACAUGAGAAACAAAGAAGAUAUUGAGGAGUUAGAGUUACAAUGGAGCAAACAAACGGAAGACUCGCGAAUAGAGAAAGAUGUGCUUGAUAUGUUGCAACCAUCAUUUAACCUGAGGAAACUGAGCAUUCGGUUGUAUGGUGGGACAAGCUUUCCGAGUUGGUUGGGUGAUCCAUUGUUUUCUAACAUGGUGUCCUUGUGUAUCUCGAAUUGUGAAUAUUGUGUAACACUUCCACCACUAGGCCAACUACCUUCUCUCAAGGACUUGACUAUUAAGGGUAUGACAAUGGAAACAAUUGGGCUGGAGUUCUAUGGGAUGACAGUAGAACCUUCCAUUUCUUCAUUCCAACCAUUUCAAUCUCUCGAGAUUUUACAUAUCUCUGAUAUGCCGAAUUGGAAGGAAUGGAAACACUAUGAAAGUGGUGAAUUUGGUUUUCCUCGCCUUAGAAUAUUGAGGUUAAUCCAAUGUCCUAAACUAAGGGGACAUUUGCCUGGCAAUCUUCCUUCAAUAGAUAUCCAUAUAACUGGUUGUGACAGUCUCUUGACAACGCCACCUACUACUCUGCAUUGGCUCUCCUCAUUAAACGAAAUCUUUAUUGAUGGAUGUUCCUUCAACAGAGAACAGUGUAAAGAAAGUUUGCAAUGGUUGUUACUUGAGAUUGAUUCUCCUUGUGUGCUUCAAAGUGCAACAAUCAGGUAUUGUGAUACCCUGUUUUCUUUACCCAGAAUUAUUAGGAGCAGCAUUUGUCUUCGAUUCUUGGAACUUCAUCAUCUUCCAUCUCUCGCUGCUUUUCCAACACAUGGUCUACCCACUUCAUUGCAGUCACUUACAGUUGAUCAAUGUCCGAAUUUAGCAUUCCUGCCACUUGAAACAUGGGGCAAUUACACAUCUCUUGUGACUUUGGACUUAAACGAUAGUUGUUAUGCACUUACCUCAUUCCUAUUGGAUGGUUUCCCAGCACUCCAAGAUCUUUGCAUUGAUGGCUGUAAAAAUCUGGAAUCCAUUUUUAUUUCUGAAAGUUCUUCCGAUCUCCCGUCAACGCUCCAAUUAUUUGAGGUAUUGAAAUGUGAUGCACUUAGAUCAUUGACUCUACGGAUGGACACCCUGAUCUCUCUUGAACAUUUGUUUCUCAGAGAUCUUCCAGAACUAACUUUACAAUUUUGUAAAGGAGCUUGCCUACCUCCCAAAUUACGAAGUAUUAAUAUUAAAUCAGUGAGAAUAGCAACGCCUGUAGAUGGAUGGGGUCUCCAACAUCUUACUUCUCUUUCAAGAUUGUAUAUUGGAGGUAACGAUGUCGAUGAUAUUGUUAACACCUUGCUGAAGGAGCGGUUGCUGCCAAUUUCACUUGUGUCUUUGGAUAUUUCUAAUCUCUGUGAAAUACAAUCCUUUGAUGGAAAUGGACUCGGACACCUAUCCUCUCUUAAAACACUUGGCUUUUAUAAUUGUUCAAGGCUUGAGUCUCUUUCAAAAGACACUUUUCCAUCCUCUCUUAAGAUACUGCGCAUCAUGGAAUGUCCUCUGUUAGAAGCAAACUAUAAAAGUCAGAGGUGGGAACAGUUGUCCAUCCCAGUCUUGGAAAUAAAUGGGGAAGUGAUAAUAUGAGGGAAGGGAUGAAAAGAGAAGUGAAGGAAAAUUUACAAUUCUGUUUCUGGUAUGAGUUUCUUCUAUGCAUCUAUCCAUAUAGAAUUUUUUCAAUUUUUUCUUUGAUUUUUUCUGUGGAACAAUUCAUAAAAUAGUCAAGUUCCAGUAAAAUAUAUCUAUCCUAAGUUAAUAACUUCAAUGUCUAUUUUAUGCAACAUGCACCUCAAUGAGAUUUGAUGUUGCUUGAGACAUAUCUUUGUUGAAAUAAAACUAAAGGAUAGUUAUCAGAUAUUCUAUACAUUUACAUGGAUAAAUAAAUACAAUUACAAUUACAAUUUACAUUUACAACUUUAUCUCAAUAACAAGAACAAAAUAUUCUUUCUUAAAAUCCUAUUGAAAACCAGUUUAAUUUUUUAAAAUCCUAUUCUUAAUCCUAGUUAAGAUUAAACUUAUAAUGUUUUUGAAGCCAUUGUUAAUUUUUAUUCUUUUGUUGUUAAUAG
rnacentral:lncRNA from 1 species